GACGAACGCUGGCGGCGUGCUUAACACAUGCAAGUCGAACGGUAAGGCCCUUCGGGGUACACGAGUGGCGAACGGGUGAGUAACACGUGGGUGAUCUGCCCUGCACUUCGGGAUAAGCCUGGGAAACUGGGUCUAAUACCGGAUAGGACCACUGCCUGCAUGGGUGGUGGUGAAAGAUUUUGCGGUGUGGGAUGGGCCCGCGGCCUAUCAGCUUGUUGGUGGGGUGAUGGCCUACCAAGGCGACGACGGGUAGCCGGCCUGAGAGGGUGACCGGCCACACUGGGACUGAGAUACGGCCCAGACUCCUACGGGAGGCAGCAGUGGGGAAUAUUGCACAAUGGGCGCAAGCCUGAUGCAGCGACGCCGCGUGAGGGAUGACGGCCUUCGGGUUGUAAACCUCUUUCAGCACCGUCGAAGCGCAAGUGACGGUAGGUGCAGAAGAAGGACCGGCCAACUACGUGCCAGCAGCCGCAGUAAGAC
rnacentral:rRNA from 1 species